GCCGGGGUAGCUCAGCUCGGUAGAGCAUCCGGCUGUUAACCGGAUGGUCGCGGGUUCAAGUCCCGCCCCCGGCG
rnacentral:tRNA from 3 species